UACGAAGGGGGCUAGCGUUGCUCGGAAUCACUGGGCGUAAAGCGCACGUAGGCGGCUUGUUAAGUCAGGGGUGAAAUCCUGGAGCUCAACUCCAGAACUGCCUUUGAUACUGGCAAUCUCGAGUCCGGGAGAGGUGAGUGGAACUCCGAGUGUAGAGGUGAAAUUCGUAGAUAUUCGGAAGAACACCAGUGGCGAAGGCGGCUCACUGGCCCGGUACUGACGCUGAGGUGCGAAAGCGUGGGGAGCAAACAGG
rnacentral:rRNA from 1 species